UCCCUGAAAGUCCAGUGGCAUGACUCAGCACUUUUACUGCUGCAUCCCAGGUUCAAUCCCUGGUUAGGGAA